rnacentral:lncRNA from 1 species
GUGGUUUUUGUUUUUGUUUUUGUUUUUGUUUGCUGCUGUUUUGGCUUUUUUUGUCUGUUUGUUUUAAAUAUGUAAUGUUCUCAUGCUAGUCACUUUUAAUUAUGCUAAUUUCAGGCUCACGGCCCAUCAGGAAGGCUAAUUCCCCGCUCGGGGCCGCAGAGGCAGGGUCCCCCGGGGCAGGGCGAGCCCCCGGCCCCCUGUCGCUCCCUCCGCAGUCACUAGAUGUCCCCAUCGUCCUUCGCAACCCCCUCCCGUCCCCAAACUCCCUCCAAACCCAGCGCCUUGUCCCGCCCUGUGCUGGCCCCGUCCGUCUGUCCAUCCCUCCAUCCGUCCGUCCGUCCGUCCAUGCAUUCGAUGGGCUGUGCUCGGGGAGUUUUGGGGUACCCUAAACCGGCGAGGAGGGGGUACCCCAAAACCCGAGGCGCGGGCAAUGUUUGGGUGUUUCAAGGGGUAAUGGUUUUGGACUAAAAAGGGUAGAUUCAGGUUACAAAUCAGGAAGAAAUGAUACAUUAUGGGGGCGGUGAAGCCCUGUCCCCGUCUUCCCCCAGGAGCUGUGGGUGCCCCAUCCCUGGCAGUGCCCAAGGCCAGGCUGGGUGGCACUUUGAGUCUGCGGAUGCCUCUCAGGAGCCCAGCACUGCGUCCCACUGCAGGGUUGGGUUGUCCCACCAGCAUCAAGACCUUCUCGGAGACACCCUGGCCCAUCUGGGCACUCGUGCACGGCCAGGCUGGCUACCAGCCCCCUGCACCCCUGCCCUCGGUCCCACCACACGCUCUGGUUAUGCUGCUUGCACCCGGGGAGGAGGGUCCCAGCACAGCCCAGGCUCAGGCUGCAGCUGGCCUGACCCAGCACAUUUGAUCGUGCUGGGCUGGUGUUUCGCAACAGGAGGAUGUUUUCCAGGGAAAGUCCCCGGUGGCCCCAGACCUCUCCAGUGGCAGCUGGCGCCCGUGCAGAGCUUGGGGUGGAAGGAUUUGCAAGGAAGGUCAGGGUCUGGGUGCAAUUCCCCUGCUCCCUUGUUCAACAGCAGAGCUCUGCUGAGAGGGUUAUUUGUGCUUCCACUUCAAAAAGAAAAAAGAAAAAAAAAAAAAAAAGAAAGGAAAGAAAAAAAAAAAAGCAAGAAAGAAAGAAAAAAAAAAGCAGCUGUGGAUCUUAAUUCACUGUGCUAUGCAUCAAGCCUGAGGCCUCCAUCUGCAGGCUCUCCAGACCCAGAGACCCACGGGAGGAGCACCUUCCCUGCAUGACCGGACACAGCAGCUCACAGCCUGCGCCCACGGCACCCCAGCGGUACCUGCUUCUGCAGACCAGCCUUCCUUCUCCACCCUUCGGGCUCCUGCUGCUUUACAAUGCAUUUCGUGGCUUUUCUGUGUAAACGCAAUAAAAGCUCUUGCUGUCAGACCA